GACACAGCUGGCUGCCUCGCCGGCUGCGGGAGGGGCAGCCGGAGCAGGUGGCCAGACCGUGACAUCCCCACGCUGCCGCCUGCCUGGCCCUGUUGACUCACCUCAGAUGUCAACUUGGCCGCCCACAGGGCCCAGUCCUGCACAGCUGGGGCAGGUGGCGGGCAGGCCCAGCAGGUGCCAGGCCAGGCCUCAGGCCCUCCCAGAGGCAGAUGCUGGAGGCAGGGGCGGCUGGGUCCCCUCCAAGGUUGGCGGACUCCACCGUCCCCGGUGAGCAGGGACCCAGGGGUUGGCAAGGAAGCUGGUGUACAGCUGCCUGGGGUCCCCAGCCUUGGAGACUGCAUGAGGGAACUGAGGCCACAGGGAGAGGUCCGGGGCCCGGGCCCCAGAAGUGAGUGGCGGUCCAGAGACCACCCAGGACCCCUCUGAGAAGCACCCCUGCCAGGCUCCCUGCCAUGGAGCCAGCGCCCAGGAGCCGUGGGCACGGGGGAAGACCUCCCCGGGCUGCAGAGUGGCGUUGUAGGAGGAAAGGCUGCCGCCCUCCCUGACAAGCCUGACCCCAGCUGCAAUGUCGCCUGCCUGGCUCUCCCAGGACCGGGGGCCCACUCCCCACCCAGGGCCACGUGGCUCUCACUGCUGCGUCGCCUCCAGGGUGCAAGCGGGCCUCGGCACUCAUGCCCAGCCUGCUGACCCCAGACGGCCCCACCCCCUCUGCAGAGGGACGGCCUCCCCGAGCCGGCCCCACCUGCCCCAUCCUGGGUCCCGAAGUCCAGCCGCUGCAUGUCCGCCGGUUGUCCCGGCACACACGCAGGACUAGGGCGCCAGGUGCACAAGGCCCGCCUCUCCACUCACGACAUUGCCCGCGUGGGGGUGAUUCAGAGCCAUCAGAGGUGUGCCAGUCACUGGCCUUGGGAUGUGGUCACCCACCCUCGGGCUGGCCAGAGGCUCUUGUCCAGCUCCAACUGGCCACCAUGCAGCCCCACCUGACCCCCACUGUCCCGGAACCAGCAGCCCCAUUGGGCGCCGGCCCCUCCUCAUUGGGCCUCAGUUUCCUCGGGUGUCAGGCCCUGUCCUUGUGCUCCCUGAAGGGGUCAAGGCGCAGCUUCUCCAAGGCUGGGGACGUGGAUGGGGGUGCAUGAGAACUGUCGUGUUUGGAUGGGGGCGUCGGCCCAUGGAAGGAGCCCCAGCCCACCGCCGUGCUCACAAUGACCUUGGCGCUGCAAGUGCCUAGAGCUGACGCAGAAUCCCAGCUACCCAUGGGGUCACUUCUCACUUGGGAGGCUUCACUGGGAGAAGGGACAGCAGCGGGCGUUUGGCUGGUGCUUUGAGCUGGGAUCUUGCCUGGGCUGUGAGGUCCUAGCCCUGGGAGACACCGGCUUUUGGGAGCUCACAGCUGGUCUUCUCUGAAUCGCCCGGCCCCACAGAGCUGGUUCUGCUCCACCAGGAGGCUUUCUGCUCCCUGGGUAACCCCCAGGGGGACAGAUGCUGGGCCCAACAAAGCUGGAUGUCACCCCCAGGGGAAGUGGCCGCUGGGGCUGGGCUGGAGGGGGCCAAGGGGCCUGGGGGCCCAGGUCAGACGCCGGGUCAGUGUGGCUCAGCCGUGUGGGUUUCCCAAGCGUCCAUGGAAACAUGUGAGACUCAGAAUGCUAUGCGCCUUAAACAGCGAAAAGAACAGCAAUCUCUUUUAAAGCUGAAGUAGGAGAGCUUGUCCUUCCGAGAACAGACGUGUCUGAACGCUCCCUGUAGGAGGCGGGGGCAGGGCCGAGGGGGGCGGAUGGGAUCCGACUGUGGCCGCUGGGAGGGAGCAGCGCCGGUUGGGGGGCGUCGCCGCACCCAGAUCUCUUAGCUGCCAGUUGUGUGUCGUAGGAGCUGGACCCCACAAAGUGACAGGUAGGGACCAGGACGCCAACAGGGAGUCCUCAGGCAGAGGAGUCCUCUGACCGCCCCAGGGCAGAAAAUGUCAGGCCUGUUUGAGGUCCCCUGAGAGGGACAGGUGGGCCCAGGUGGCAGGUUUCAGCAGAAGCAUGGCCAGGGCGACAGUGAGUGUCCCUGGCUGGAGGAUGCCAGCCAAGGCUGCCGGGCGCUGGGGUGUUGAACAAGGGCCUGUGGAGCGCGCCGUCCUGCGAGCCCUGGGUCCCCUGUCCCAGGGGUGAGGCUCAGUAGUCGCCACUGUCAUCAGGUGGCCUUGCCCUCCUCCCCUCCUCCUCCCCUCCAGCUGCCCCCCGACCACAGGCUCUUCUCGAGAACAUUCUCUGCCUGGAAAGCCCUUCUCUGCAGCAUCAGUUUCCUGGGGCUGCUGCAAGCAAGCAGCACAACCCGGGGACUUAGGCGGGAAAUUCCUGCCUUCCCAGGCCUCCAGCCAGAGUCUGAAUCCAGAGGCCACAGAGACCUGCGGGAGGGUCCUUCUUGCACCUAGUGGCUCCAAGUGUCCUUGGCUUGUGGCCACAUGGCUCCUUUCUCUGUGCCCAUCUUCAUGUGGCCUCUCCUCGUGUCUCUGCCUCUUCUCUUCUUAUAGGAACUGUUGUCUUUGGGAGUUCCCGUCAUGGCUCAGGGGUUGAUGAAUCUGACCAGCAUCCACAGGGACGCAGGUUCCAUCCCUGGCCUCGCUCAGUGGGUUAAGGGUCCGGUGUUGCCGUGAGCGUGGUGUAGGUUGCAGAUGUGGCUUGGAUCCUCUGUGGCUGUGUUGUGGCUUAGGUUGGUGGCUGUAGCUCUGACUGGACCCCUGGCCUGGGAACCUCCAUGUGCUGCGGGUGUGGCCCUAAAAAGCAAAAAAAAAAAA
rnacentral:lncRNA from 1 species